rnacentral:lncRNA from 10 species
CUGGGAUUACAGGAGUGAGCCAUUGUUCCCAGCCUGCUCUUCUUUCUUUAGCUUUUAAGUGGAAACCUAGAUCAUUGAUUUCUAUCCUUUUUUGUUUACUAAUACGAGCACUCAUACUCUCUAUGUCCUUCUGUAGUUAUGUCCUACAAAUUUUGAUAUUUUGCAUCAUCAUUUAGUUUGAAAUAUUUUCUGAUUUCUACAGGCUUUCUCCUCUGACCCAUGGUGGUUUAAACUGCAAAUAUGAAAGUCUUUUUUGUAUUUCUUAUUGACUUCUAAUUCAAUUUCACUGCAACUAAAGAAAGUGUUCUGUAUGAUUUCAAUCCUUUUAAAUUUAUUAAGACUCUUCGUAGGCCCAGAAUAGGGUCUACCUUAGUAAACAUACUAUGUGCACUCAAAAAGAAUGAACAUUCUACAGUUGUUGGGUAUAGUAUUCUAUGAAUGUUUAUUAGGUCAAGGUGGUUGAUAAUUUUUUCAGAUUGUCUGUGACUUCAUUGAUUUUUCUUUUUUUGUUUUUUUGACAGUCUUGCUCUGUUGCCCAGGCUAGAAUGCAGAGGCACCAUCUUGGCUCACUGCAACCUCCGCCUACCGGGUUCAAAUGAUUCUCCUGCCUCAGCCUCCCGAGUAGCUGGGAUUACAGGCACCUGCCACCAUGCCCAGCUAAUUUUUGUAUUUUCAGCAGAGAUGAGGUUUUACCAUGUUGACCAGGCUGGUCUUGAACUCCUGACCUCAAGUGAUCCGCCAACCUCGGCCUCCCAAAGUGCUGAGAUUACAGGCAUGAGCCACCAUGCCCGGCCUCCAUCUUUUACUUUCAAUCUAUCUGAAGCUUUAUAUUUAAGGUGCAUAUAUUUUAGACAGUUAAUAAUUUCAGCUUGCUUUUUUUUUUCCUAGUUGGGGAAACUCUGCUUUUUAAUUGGAUUGUUUAUUCUGGUUACAUUUGUUGUUGUGGUGAAAUUUGGAAAGUUCAACCUGCCACAACGUCUUCACUUACUAUUUUUAAAGGAUAUUCUCAAUGAGUGUGAAUAGUGAGUCAACAGCUUUCUUUCACCAUUUCACACAUCCUGAGCCUCCAUUGUUUUGAGUCAGCUGUCGUUCAUAUCUUUGUUACCUGUGAAUGCACAAAAUUUGCUCUGUAUGAUGACUAUGAUGUGUCCAGCCAUUUCUUCUUGGUUCUGGUUCCGUGUGUACUGCAUGAUAUUGUACCACGUGUCACGGAGACUCGCUUCCUUGUUUUCUUUCAGUUUCAUUUUCCCUUGCACUUCAGAUGGAAUGAUAUCUAUUGAUCUCUUUUCAAGUUCACUCAUUCUUUCUUCUGUAAUGUUCAAUCUCUCUUAAGAAAGUCCAAAUAAAUUUUUCAUUUCAGAGAGUGGAAUUUUCGGUUCUAAAAUGUCCAUUUGGUUCUUGUUUAUAGUUAUCAUAUGUAUGCUGAAAUAGCUUAUCUUCCACUCAUGUCAACAAUCUUUUCUGUAGACCCAACAUAUAUUUUGUAGCUCCUUAAAAGAGAUUCUAUUAUGAAUCAGCAUUAAAAACCACUGUGAAGAC